AUUUCAGGCCUCUGGACUUUCACUGAACCAUACCACUGACCUUCCUGGAUCUCCAACUUCCAGAUGGCAUAUUGUGGAAUUCCUCAGUCUCCAUAAUCAUGAACAAAGGGGAAGAAAAAAAAACUGCAAAGGAAACAAACACAAAUUCCUGUAAUUGCCCAUUGCCCAAGUUUAGACUACACUCCUACUUCAAAAAAAGCCCCAGGCACUUUCUUCAAAAGGCAUUCCAGAAGGCGUUAUUAUCAUAGGAGAUGAUAGCUACAUGUGUGUUAUUGUCUCUGAAGAUCUUCUAGUGGGACAAGAUGUGGAGGUGGAAGACAGUAAUAUUGAUGAUCCUGACCCUGUGUUGGCCUAGACUACUGUGUGUGUUUUUAGCAAAAAAGUAAAAAUAUAUAUAUAUUAAAAAUAGUAAAGAGCUCAUAGAAUAAGACUGUAAAGAAAUAAGAUAUUUUUGUACAGCUUUACAUUGUUUUUGUGUCUGAAGUGUUGUUAUAAAAGGAGUCACAAAAUUUAAAAAAUUAAAAUAUGUAUUAGAUGAAAAAGAUAUAGUAAGAUAUGGUUAAUAUAUUAUUGAAGAAAAAGUAUUAAUAAAUUUAGUGUAGCCUGUGUGGACAGUGUUUUUAAAGUCUACAGUGGUUAUAUAAUAAUGUCCUAGGCCUUCACAUUCACUCAUUGCUCAUGGCACAUCCAGGAAACUUCCAGUCUUGCAAGCUCCAUUCAUGGUAAGGGUCCUAAAUUGGUGCACCAUUUUUAAAAUCUUUAUACUGUACUUUUACUGUAUAUUUUCUAUGUUUAGACACACAGAUAGUUAACAUUGUGUUACAUUUGCCUACAGUAUUCACUGCAGUGAUGUGCUGUACAAGAUUGUAGCAUAGGAGCAAUAGGCUAUACCCUGUAGAAUAGGAGUGUAGGCUAUACUACCUAGGUUUGUGUUCACAAAACAGUGAAAUUGCUUAAUGACCCAUUUCUCAGAGUGUAUGCCCUACAUUAAGUGAUACAUGACUGUAUCAACUCCAUUAAGAACAAAAUGCACCCCUUACCUAAUGAAAGAUGUCUAAUAUAGCUUACCUGUCACCAAGUAACUGGUCUAUCACCAUGGGGAAUAUCAACAUACUGGGGACUCAGUGUUGGGUUUUGCUGCUUCUGGCAAGUUGGGAACAAAAGGAAAGCCUUGGUAAGUGGAAGUCCGUUUGACUGGGCCCAUGCAUGACAAAGAUCCUUGCCAUCAUAGUCACUUUGUGAGUCCAAUAGGCAAUGACAAAAGUGUCUAGUGAAAGAGUUUGACUGCUAUGCACAAAAUGGGUCAUUCAUUCUAUCACUUUCAUUUAAAAAAACUCCCCUCUG
rnacentral:lncRNA from 10 species